CUCGACGUUGGUGUGGUAGUCGAGCGCCAGGUCGAUCUGGGCGUCCUUGCGGCCGGGUCGGUCCAGGUAGUGCUGGUCCAGGGUCCAGCCGUCGGGG
rnacentral:tRNA from 1 species